GAAAUGCGAUAAGUAAUGUGAAUUGCAGAAUUCAGUGAAUCAUCGAAUCUUUGAACGCACCUUGUGCUCCUUGGUAUUCCUUGGAGCAUGCCUGUUUGAGUAUCAUGAAAUCUUCAAAGUAAAUCUUUUGUUAACUCAAUUGGUUUCUACUUUGGUAUUGGAGGUCUUUGCAGCUUCACACCUGCUCCUCUUUGUUCAUUAGCUGGAUCUCAGUGUUAUGCUUGGUUCCACUCGGCGUGAUAAGUUAUCUAUCGCUGAGGACACUGUAAAAGGUGGCCAAGGUAUAUGCAGAUGAACCGCUUCUAAUAGUCCAUUGACUUGGACAAUACUUUUAUGAUCUGAUCUCAAAUCAGGUAGGACUACCCGCUGAACUUAAGC
rnacentral:misc_RNA from 1 species